AACUCUUAACGGGGGAUCACUCGGCUCGUGGGUCGAUGAAGACCGCAGCAAACCGCGUGUCGGUAUGUGAAUCGCAAGAAUACCAGAUACAUCGACAAGUUGAACGCAUAUUGCGGCGGCGGCAGCCAUAUGAGCUUGUCGCCGCCACUUAAUACGAGAGGGUCG
rnacentral:rRNA from 1 species